rnacentral:rRNA from 1 species
CACGUAGGGCGCGAGCGUUGUCCGGAAUUAUUGGGCGUAAAGAGCUCGUAGGCGGCCUGUUGCGUCCGCUGUGAAAGCCCGGGGCUUAACCCCGGGUCGGCAGUGGAUACGGGCAGGCUAGGGGUAGGUAGGGGAGAAUGGAAUUCCCGGUGUAGCGGUGAAAUGCGCAGAUAUCGGGAGGAACACCUGCGGUGUAGACGGCUUUCUGGACCAUUGCUGACGCUGAGACACGAAAGCGUGGGUAGCAAACAGGAU